GAUGAACGCUGGCGGCGUGCCUAACACAUGCAAGUCGAACGAUGAAACCGCCCUCGGGCGGACAUGAAGUGGCGAACGGGUGAGUAACACGUGACCGACCUGCCCCCCGCCCAGGGACAGCCCCCCGAAAGGGGGAUUAAUACCUGGUACUCCGGAAGCGGCGCAUGCCGCCCCCGGGAAAGCUCUGGCGGCGGGGGAUGGGGUCGCGGCCCAUCAGGUAGACGGCGGGGCAGAGGCCCACCGUGCCGACGACGGGUAGCCGGGUUGAGAGACCGACCGGCCACAUUGGGGCUGAGAUACGGCCCAGACGCCUACGGGAGGCAGCAGUGGGGAAUUUUGCGCAAUGGGGGCAACCCUGACGCAGCAACGCCGCGUGCGGGACGAAGGCGUCCGCGUCGUAAACCGCUUUCAGCGGGGAACACCUAACGAGGGUACCCGCAGAAGAAGCCCCGGCUAAAUACGUGCCAGCAGCCGCGGUAAAAC
rnacentral:rRNA from 1 species